AAUAAAAAAAUAAGAAGGGGGGAAAAAAACCCGGCCGGUGUCAUCCCCCCACGUCAGGGCCGGUGGUGGGCGUGAGGCUGUACUUCCUCCGCCCCCUCCUAAUGGAGCGAACCAUUCCCAGUCAGCCUUCCUCGCCCUCUCCCGCUGCCUCCCUCUUCCUCUCCUUCUCCUCUUGUCUCCCCCCCUUGUCUGCAAAGUCCUCCGCUGCUCGGAACUUGUUGGCAAUGUCUAUUUUUCAGCUUUCCCCCACGUUCUCCAAAGUAACUAUUUAAAGAUCUGCAGCCGCAAAUGGUUUUACUAAAUGUAGGAUGGGACUUAAGUUGAACGGCAGUUAUAUUUCUCUGAUCCUUGCUGUACAGAUAGCGUACCUGGUGCAGGCGGUGAGAGCGGCGGGGCGGUGCGAUGCGGUCUUUAGGGGCUUCUCGGAUUGUUUGCUGCGGCUGGGCGAUAACAUGGCCAACUACCCGCAGGACCUGGACGACAAGAGAAAUCUCCAAACGAUCUGCGCGUACUGGGAUGAUUUCCACGCCUGCACCCUCACAGCGCUCACCGAUUGCCAGGAAGGAGCGACAGACCUCUGGGAGAAAUUGAGACGGGAAUCCAAAAACCUCGAUUUCCAAGGCAGCUUAUUCGAACUGUGCGGAGGCGGCAGCGGCGCGGCACCGUCCGUCCUCCCGCCGGCCUUGCCCCUGCUCCUGGCGGCUCUGUGGGCUGCCCUAGUGACCUGGCUGCCUUUCUAGGGGGGCGAGCACACUCACACCCACACCCUCUCCAUGUGCUGGAUCUAUAGAGGAAGUGUCCAUCCGUUGCUUUGGGGACGUUGUGCUUUUCUGUGGUUGAUGAUGAUGAUGAUGGUGGUGGUGGUGGCUGAUGAUGGUGAAACACCUAUGUAGGACUGUGGAAGCGUUCUCCCUUUUUUUUUCUUCUUCUUUUUUUUCCCCCCCUUUUUUUUUUUUUUUUUUUUUUGUGUUUAUUUGCCAAAUCUUACCAAACAGGCAGCGGCACGCAGCCCAAAUCGGACCUCAGCUUUACUAUCGCUUCGAAUCAAAAAUAGAAAAAAAAAAUAUAAAGAAACAAACUCGAGCCCUCGUUGUGCAAACGCAAUCUCAGGAACGGCUCUGGGCCACCUACUGCUAAGGCUGUAACCGGCCGGGUACCUCCCGGCGAGCCACGGGCUCCGCUAAAAAUGCGGCAGUGUGCGAGGCGAGAACAAAAACCGCAGACAGGAAAAGGCACUGGCGAGAAAUCCAAGGUGCUGGAUGUCUCUUCAGAGAAACAACAUUGCUGCAGGGGACAAACAACUAGUCCUGACCUUCUUUACACAGCCAUUCUCUGGGAAAAAGUAUCCCCUGAAGUCAAUGUGCAUUCUGCCUAGCUUUUAUCAGGAGAAAAACGCCCGAAUUGAAAUGACACCAGCAAAUAAUAGGUGUUGGUGAUUUUCACUCUCUCCACCUAAAUCAGAUAUCUGGCACAUCAGUACUUAGAAGGCUUAGGAGAAGAAGAAAACAUCAAUAUUUCACUGAGCACAAAAAGUUGCACAACUCCCAAGACUUCAUUUUCAUGUCAGCUGUGGUUAGUUUGUAGUUUUUCUUUUUUUCUGUAAGAUGAGUGAUUUCCACUUCUUUUUGAAUCCCACCUGUGCAAAUAGCUUGUUUUUCUCCCUAGCAAGUGCUAACAAGGAACUGUGAGGGUUUUGCUCAGGCUCAGUAGUCAGGCAGUCCUGGGGUGGCUGACUUCUAGGAAAAGCCACAGCAGGAACAAACAAGAGCCAGCCUACGCACCAGGCACAGCUUUUGCUGGUCCUCAGCUCAUGUUCCAGCUCACACUCGUGGUAAAUAGCAAAGUUAGCAAAUGCACUGCAGACCAACGCCAGGAGGAUGGAUCCAGACCGGCUGGAUGCUUCAUCGUAGAGCUGCCCUUAGAAACUCUGGCCCAUUUUGAGGCAGCUUCACCCUCCUCACCAGAGCUGUGCCAGCUCACGGCAGUUUAGGACUUACUCUGCUCACUUUAGCCCGUGCAAUUUCAUCCUUUGUGUGAACCAGAUCAUGCAAAUGGGGGCACCGGAGUCACAGGGAAGUCGAGUUCCACACGAGUGCUGGCAUGAGAAGGAGCAGCAAUUAGCUCUAAAUUCACUCCACCAGCCUGUCAUUUCUGAGCUCUCCCCUGCUGCUCUGCAACUGGAAACCUUGCACUCCAGAAGAAGGGGAGAAGAACAUUUUGCUCAUGCUCAUAUUAAUCAAGUCAUCUUGUGAGCUGCUGAAUCUGUGAAAUUGUAUCUCCCAUGGAGUUCAGUGGUAAUGACUGUCUUCGAUGUGGACUCUCUGGUGUCUAAUAAUACAGUUAUAUUUCUGCAGUGGAUGCACUCCUGGCAUUUUUUUCUCCUCUGCCUGCCUACUUCCACAGCACUUGUAGGCACUUCAAACCUUUGAGACUUCUAUCCCCUGUCAAGUUUGAUCAAACUCAGUUCACAGGCUCAAAAAUUAUUUAGGAGGGACUGACUGGCACUUGCAUAGACAGUGUGAUCUCAUAAGCUUCCUUUCCUUAGGAAACUAGGCUACCAACCUAGCAACGAGGUGAAAAAAAGCCAUCCUGCUAGCAAAGAGGACCUAAACACCAGGAGGAAAGAGGGGAGGUGGGAGAGGAAAGUGAAGCUGUUUUGAAGGGAAAAAAAUCGUUGUGGUUGCAGAGCUCUCACAUACUCAAAGGGCCAGCCUUGGAGAGACAUGUAGGAGAAAAUAUUCUCCAGGAGAUGGAAAGUUCUCUCAUGAAAAUUGGUAAGGGAGAGAAAUGACCUGGAUUCAUCACACCACCUGGCAUGCUAAAUGGAUAUCUCUAUGGUAAGGAUCGUCUCUGGUGACACCUGUUUCUCCCUGUGGACUAGAGGAAGACACAGACACAAUUAGCAUGCAACCUGUAUGCCUGCAGUAUCUAAAGUGAGGUGUGUCCUAUCCCAAAGGGAAUGAUCUUCUUCCCGCUCUCUCCUUCAGACCAAAGUUUUCCAUGGUGCUGCUGCAAGGUUUAUUACUUCAUGUACUACAUUUGUAUUUUAGAAAAGCUGCUGUGUGUCUUAAUAGCUGCAGAUGUAUGCAUGGUUUUACUGGGCAUUUAUUAUCACUUAUCCUCUUUGCACUGAAACCUUUCCUGUCCUUGUAUCUUACGGAAUAAAAUUCUUUAAGUGAGCUUUAA